AAUCAAAUAAUAACCCUAACACGUCAUUGAAUCCUUUCGAUGAUCUCCCAUCUUCAUCGUUUCAUCUUCUUCAACGGAUCGUCGCAGUAAGGUUUACAACUUCUGGCCUUUUCCGCUUCCUCCUUCAUCUUCAUCCCCUUUCAGCUUCCCUUACAAUUGUAAAUCACCAUUCAAAUUCUCCUCCUCCCACUAAAUUUUACAUUCAUCAAAUCGAAGACAACAACUCCACAAAUUACUGUUCGACUUCCCCUCUCCAACCUAUAUAUAAUACUCCAAUGUCACUUUGUUGUUUAUAUCUAUUAAUGGUUUUUGUGUUGGUAGAAUCAGGAGUUGAUAUCAAUCUCUGGAACUACCGUAGACAGAUAAUAGCUCUCUAUAGACUACUUUGAUGCAAGCUCUCUACCGUCCAGCAGCGAGAGAUCCUCAAGCUCUGCUCCUCAUUUGGAGAUCAAAGAAGAAGAUCUUUAGUCUGCCCCGAGAAAGAUCCGUAAACUUCAAUCCGUUUUAAAAGUCUGCCUUUCUGGUUUGAGCUUAAAAUAUGAUGAUAUUACAAGAAUAGAAGGGAUUAAGCGGCCUGAGCUCUUAUCAGCCCGAUCUAGCAUGACAGCUAAUGAAAGGAAGCUCGCAGAUGUUUGUGCGUUAAAUGCCAAUGAAGUGACAAAGUGAAUGAGCUGCUUAGAGUGUUUGGAGCACCGAGUGAUGCGAGAAUCUAUUGGGCUAGAGGGGAACCUCUUAGGAAAAAGCAGCACUCAAAACCGAGUGUUAUGGUCAUGGCAUUUCAUGAAAGCGAUGAGGAGAUACGGAGAGUUCCGGAGUUUGGUGGAGAAGCUACCGGGAAAGAAAUUUCGGGACGAGAAUCUGGAUCGGGACCGGUCAGGACCAGACACAAAUAACGGUCGGAGGAGAGGGUCAAACGAAGCGAGUGGGGACUCUGGCUGAGAAGAGACCAAGCAGAUAAAGAGGUACCCAGUUUUUUACACUUUUUACCAUUAUUGUUUAGAGGGUGGUAAAUAAAGGUUGGUUGCGUGAUGGGGAUUGUUUGGUAGUUUUUUGUGAAUAAAAAACGUUUUGAGGAACAGAGUCUCAGCACAGCAGAGAGGAAGAAAGCUUACUUGGGUGAACUGGAAAACAGAGUGAAAGACUUGGAGAACAGAAACUCUGAACUUGAAGGGAGACUUUCUACUUUGCAGAACGAGAACCUGAUGCUUAAACAACAAUAUCUGGACCCGAAUAGAAAGCAGUAACAUAAGCCAGUGUAUCACAUGACUGAGUUGCAGUCUCUCCUUUAUCCCCUCUUUCUCCAGGAACUCAGAGGUUCCUACCCCUUAUUGUGGUUAUUUUGUUAUAUGUGAGAAAAUUUACAGCAGGAUCAUGGGAAUGUGACAGAUGGAGAAGUGAACGAGUCCACCAUAGUUCAUCUUCUUAAUUCACGUAGCUUCUUUGGAAAAAUCAAAGGCUCCUGUACAGUUGCAAAGUUUGCGGAGAAGCCUAAGCGACUUCUGAAUUCAUUUGAUAGGCAAGAUUACAAGAGAAGUCCCUUUCUCAAUGAUCUAAGGCACCAAGGUUGAAGGAUUUUGAAAACAAGAGAGGUGAAGGUCAUUGCAUAUAAGUGUUUGCUGAGCUUAUGUGUUGGAAGAUCAACCAAUUACGUAUGCGCUCUCCAUAGGAUCUGAAAGGACGUCUGAAUAUGCAGUUUCAAGUUGAAGAAUGUUGCUGGUGGUCUUACAAGGAUAAUGGUAUAAAUUAGUUUCAACAGUUAUAUUUGUUUCCAUUUCUUGACCGAGAACUUAAAAAACAUAUUUGAUGAACAUACUGUAUAUAACUGUUUAUGGAAUUAAAAAUUAAUAAAUAAUUUCAUGAUA